GCCCAGCCGUAAACAAUUAAUCCACAACCACAAGCGCCAGGGAAUUACGAGCCAAGCUUAAAACCCAAAGGAUUUGACGGUGUCCCACCCCCCUAGAGGAGCCUGUUCUAUAAUCGAUGAUCCCCGCUACACCCGACCAUUUCUUGCUUAUAUCAGUCUGUAUACCUCCGUCGAAAGCUUACCAUGUGAACGCCCCCCACAGUAGGUUCAAUGACCCCCGUCAAUACGUCAGGUCAAGGUGCAGCUUAAGAAAUGGGAAGCGAUGGGCUACAAUUUCUAACCUAGAACAAACGAAAGGCUAUGUGAAAUCAUAGUCACGAAGGCGGAUUUAGUAGUAAAAAGAAAAUAGAGUGUUCUUUUUAACCUGGCUCUGGGACGCGUACACACCGCCCGUCACCCUCUUCGAUAGUGCUAACCCACAGUCCAUAACCUAUUUAUACGUCUGAGAAGAGGCAAGUCGUAACAUGGUAAGUGUACUGGAAAGUGCACUUGGUAUAUUACAAAAUAUAGCUUAACAAAAGCCCCCCGCUUACACCGAGGAGUUAUCUGUUUGACCCAGAUUAUUUUGAGCCUUAAAUCUAGCCCACAUGAUCCGCAUGAUACUCCCCAACAUCUGUAAAAAAUAAAACAUUUUAACAUUUUAGUAUAGGCGAUAGAAAAAUUAUUAAGCGCUUUAGACAGAGUACCGCAAGGGAAAUAUGAAAUAGUAAUGAAACAAUUUUUAUAGCCACAAACAGCAGAGACACCCCCUCG
rnacentral:rRNA from 1 species